CAGCAGCCGCGGUAAUAUGAAGGGGGCUAGCGUUGUUCGGAAUUACUGGGCGCAAAGCGCACGUAGGCGGAUACUUAAGUUAGGGGUGAAAUCCCAGGGCUCAACCCUGGAACUGCCUUUAAUACUGGGUAUCUUGAGUUCGAGAGAGGUAAGUGGAAUUCCGAGUGUAGAGGUGAAAUUCGUAGAUAUUCGGAAGAACACCAGUGGCGAAGGCGGCUCACUGGCCCGUUGUUGACGCUGAGGUGCGAAAGCGUGGGGAGCAAACAGGAUUAGAUACCCCUGUAGUCCCUGUCUCUUAUAC
rnacentral:rRNA from 1 species